UUCACAUCUUUGCCUCUGUGUGAUUUAAGACAAGUCACUUAACUGUGUUGUGUCUGAGUUUCCCUGUCAGAUGGGGACAACGCCCACCUCCUGGGUUACUGUUAAGACGAGGACUAUGACCACACGGGUCACACCAAACACAAUACUUGGCCCAGCUGCUCCCCCUGCCUCGCCGCAGAAAUCGCCUGUCCCGUGCAUGAAGAGCACCUCAUCAGCAAACUCUGACCCAAGCACUCAGAAUAAGCCUUCUUUGUUCAGGCUGGCCUUGAACUCACUAUGUAGCCCAGGCUGGCCUUGAAUUCAAGGCAAUCCUCCUGCCUCAGUGCUGGGAUUACAGGUGCUGAGGAUCUCAGCUCCGUCUUGAAUUUUGUAACUACAGGAAUAAAUGUUUAAAGUACCUGGGUGUGGUUUGCUAACACAAUUAAAAAAUUUUUUGAGGGGGCAACCCACUUUCUAGUCCCUUCUGUCUCUUAGACAGCAGCUUUCUCUCAGUACAAUUUUCCUCUUAAACUGAAAAAAAAAAAAAAAGAAAUUUUUUUUUGAGACAGGGUCUCACUAUGCUGUCCAGGCUGGCCUCAAACUUUCCAUCCUCCUGGCUCAGCCUCUCGUCACUGGGACUGCAGGAAUACACCACCAGGCCUGGCAACCAACACACUGGGACAGUAUCUGUCACAGGAUAAACUCAAUAUUAAGUUUAUUAAAUCAAUGAC
rnacentral:lncRNA from 1 species